GCAUGGUAACUUGCUGCUGUCUGAGAUCAAAGUAAAAGUGCAGAGUUUAGUAAAAAUGAGGAACACACAAACAAGCAGCUCUUUAUCUAGCAUUUAUAAAGCAUAAAAUGAAGUUUCAGUGUUUGUGCAUUUAUUGAAAUGAUGUAGCAAAGUGCUGAUAGAAUAAUAGAAGUGUUAUUAGUACAUAACAAAGUUCUCCAUUAUGCUUAACAGAAAGAUCCCUAAUUUGAUCUUCAAUUCAUCCCCCAUUUCUGGUAUUUUGUUCUCUUAAAGAGUAUGGAGCAAUUUUAAGGCAAACUAAUAAUUCACAUAAAGCAUAACUUCCCCAUAGUGUUGGCAAUCAAGAGUUAAAGCUCCCUCCUUCUCCUCUCACCCUUCAACCAAAAAGGAGAAGAAAAGAGAGUUUUGGGAGAGAGCAGGGGAAAGGAUGUAUCUUCAAAUAUUUAACCCACCAAGAAAGUAGAAGAGCCUUUUGCAAAAAAUAUGAGAUUGAUGAACCCCAGCCAAGACAAAACAGAACCUGAAUAUGAUCUGGACCAAGUAA
rnacentral:misc_RNA from 1 species